GUGGAGGAACCGUGAGCCAUUGUUACGUGGAGGGGGUGGCGGGCAGUCCUUGUUCUUAGAGUUCCCAAGAUGGUGGCGGACCGCUUCCAAGAUGGCGGCGGGCCGCUUCCAAGAUGGCGGCAAGCCUCUUGUUCUCUGACCUGGGGUUCUCGGCAUCACAGAUUCCAAGGAAUGGAAUCUUGGGCCAUGCGAGGGAAGAAAGAAAUAAAAAAGACACAAGGUUCCUUCCUCCAGUAGGAUUCCGCCAUCACCACAUCAUCAAUCAUCAUCAUCAUUAUCAAUCAUCAUCAUCCAAACAUCAUCAUUACUAUCAUCAAUCAUCACCAUCUUCAAAAAACAUCUUUUAAUGCUAAUGAUAGUCACUUAUAAGAAUCCACGUCUGAAAAUCCACAAGGGAUUUCUGAGAACUCAUUUUGUACCCAGCUCUGUUCCCUAAGGCUUCUGCCCACAACUGAUUUGCUGUCUGGUUCAGUCAGAACUUGAACACAAGAAGCAAUCAGUCACACAGGGCAGCAGAUAAUUGUGGGCUAAAUGUUUCCAAGCUUAAGCAGGCCUGUGGAUUCAAGAGUCCUCUUCCAGCUUUAUGCAGAUGGCCUUCAUUUUCACUCCUUGCCUGAAGCCCUGUAUUUUUCUUCUUUUUUUUUUUAAAUCCAGAUAGUGGCAAUCAUAUGCUACAAGAUAAACAAGGUGAUGCCCUUUGCAUCUCCCUACUCUCUUAUCCACAGCAAUUUCCCAGCCUAUUUUUCAGAAACCCCCAAAGGAAUUAUCAGGCCGGCUGUGCACGGUGGCUCACACCUGUAAUCCCAGCACUUUAGGAUGCCAAGGCGGGUGGAUCACCUGAGGUCAGGAGUUCGACACCAGCCUGGCCAACAUGGUGAAACCCCGUCUCGACUGAAAAUACAAAAUUAGCCUGGCAUGGUGGCACAUGCCUGUGAUCCCAGCUACUUGGGAGGCUGAGGCAGGAGAAUCACUUGAGCCCAAGAGGCAGAGGUUGCAGUGAGCCAAGAUUGCACCAUUGCACCCCAACCUGGGCAACAGAGCGAGACUCUGUCUCAAAAAAUAAAAAUAAAAAAAGAUAAAGGGGAUUAUUAGGCCUAUCAGACCCCAAAUACUGCCAGAAUGAGGCCAGAAUUUCCCAGGAAUUGAGCUCCCACUCCCCACCCUGCAGGCAUUGAGUCAUGCGUCUCCAGGAGAGAGCAUUUGGCUACACCUUUGGUGCUAUCGAGGAAAUCAUGAUGCCCAGUGGUCCACAGCUCUUAGGAAUCUGAGCUUCUCUGGGUUUGUCCGUGGACGUGGGGAGAGGAGUCUUUUGGUGCCCUGACUCUAAGAACUUUGACCUUUAAUUCUGAAGUCCUGGGCCCCUAUCAUCUCUCUCCCAAAGGGAGUGUUUGAGGAUAUGGCAACUGCGGCAUUAACAGAUGAUUCUAGGAAGAAGAGGAAAAGGCCUGUUCUAUAAAUAAAUGUACUGUUCCUGAA